rnacentral:misc_RNA from 1 species
CGCACAUUGCGCCCCUUGGAAUUCCGAAGGGCACGUCUGUUUGAGCGUCAGUAAAACACCUCUGGCCGUGGCUUUGCUGCCGCGCGCCGGGUCUUUGGCGGCGGGGAAAACGGGACCGAAAGGCCCCGCCCGCCGCUUGAAAAUGAGAGCUUGCGGGCCGGUACCCAGUGACCACGACGUAGUAGAUUAAUUUUGAGACGUCGGACGUGAAGCUGUUGGAUGCGGCCCCGCCUUUCUAACCAUUUUUACCUGACUUUUGACCUCAGAUCAGACGAGGAUACCCGCUGAACUUAA